rnacentral:rRNA from 1 species
GAUGCUAGAGCUUGCUCUGGUUGAUCAGUGGCGAACGGGUGAGUAACACGUGAGUAACCUGCCCUUGACUCUGGGAUAACUCCGGGAAACCGGGGCUAAUACCGGAUACGAGACGCGACCGCAUGGUCGGCGUCUGGAAAGUUUUUCGGUCAAGGAUGGACUCGCGGCCUAUCAGCUUGUUGGUGAGGUAAUGGCUCACCAAGGCGUCGACGGGUAGCCGGCCUGAGAGGGCGACCGGCCACACUGGGACUGAGACACGGCCCAGACUCCUACGGGAGGCAGCAGUGGGGAAUAUUGCACAAUGGGCGAAAGCCUGAUGCAGCGACGCCGCGUGAGGGAUGAAGGCCUUCGGGUUGUAAACCUCUUUCAGUAGGGAAGAAGCGAAAGUGACGGUACCUGCAGAAGAAGCGCCGGCUAACUACGUGCCAGCAGCCGCGGUAAUACGUAGGGCGCAAGCGUUGUCCGGAAUUAUUGGGCGUAAAGAGCUCGUAGGCGGUUUGUCGCGUCUGGUGUGAAAACUCAAGGCUCAACCUUGAGCUUGCAUCGGGUACGGGCAGACUAGAGUGUGGUAGGGGUGACUGGAAUUCCUGGUGUAGCGGUGGAAUGCGCAGAUAUCAGGAGGAACACCGAUGGCGAAGGCAGGUCACUGGGCCACUACUGACGCUGAGGAGCGAAAGCAUGGGGAGCGAACAGGAUUAGAUACCCUGGUAGUCCAUGCCGUAAACGUUGGGCACUAGGUGUGGGGCUCAUUCCACGAGUCGCGCCGCAGCUACGCAUUAAGUGCCCCGCCUGGGGAGUACGGCCGCAAGGCUAAAACUCAAAGGAAUUGA